UAUAUAUAUAUAUAUAUAUAUAUAUAUAUAUAUAUAUAUAUAAAAAACAAUAUGAUAUUUUUUUUUUUCAAUAUACUUCGGGCAUUCUGAUGACGCGUACUAGCGUUACUAUCGUUAUCCUUUGUCUCAUUUUGUGAUCAAAUCUGUAUCGAUAUCAUACGAUACAUGAUUAACUCUUAGAGUACCUGCUUCUGUGUUUAAUUUCUUGUUUUCUUUUUUUUUUUUUUUUCUUUUUUUUUUUCUUUUUUUUUUUCUUUUUUUUUCUUUUUUUUUUUUUUUUUUUGUUAAUGAAAGGAAAAGUCGAAGAAUGAAAUUGAAUGCAUGGAAAAACUAAAGGUGUCGAUUUUAGAUUCCUUGGUUGUGAUGUAGAAGUGGCUGGCACCACUUUUGUCCAAGUGACAAUAUUUACUAAUUAUAUAACGUUUGCGUAGGAGGAUCAUGUAUCUUUCACCCCCCGUCAUGUCAUCGACUGUAAAAUAACACAAUAUGGAAAAUGUUGUGCUAUACGCGUUAAAGUCAUUGAAUUACUAAGAAUCGCUCUAAAGAACGGAGUUUAAAUUAAAAUGCUCUGUACAUCGGCUGAGUCACCUCUUUUGAUUUUUAUAAUGUAGUCAAUCAUUAGUUAGUUUUUUCAUAUCGACUCUUUAUAAAAUCAAGGCGUAAAUGAAAAAUGAAAAAACAACACGACAAAGAACGAUCAACACAUUAUACACUAUGAUAUUGAACUCAAUUUCAAAUAUAACCAGUGUUAUAAUAUCGAAUUUAGCUGUUCUAUUGUUUUUUGAUAUUCAUAUAAUAUCAACGACAUAGCUCAUAACGAAAAGAAAAUAAUAGCGAAUUACGUUCACUUUUUAAACGUUUUAUAAAUCUACGAUAGUAUUCUCGUAUG